rnacentral:pre_miRNA from 1 species
UCUUAAAGAUGAGCAAAGAAAGUGGUUUCCUGAGAUGGAAGCUACUCCUGGUGGGGAUGCUGUGAG